rnacentral:misc_RNA from 1 species
CCAGGACGACAUUUUGCAUCGACCAAACGACGAUCGCCUCGAUACGCUGCUGGAACAUCCGUAUAUCCGGUGUCCGUUAAACGCGGACUCUUCCCCCAGAAGAGAGAGUCUCUUCUCCUUCGUCGAUCGAGGAAGCGGGGACAAUAAAUAAUUCAGGAACAAGUUGAAACGCCAGAGUCACCCACCUGGUCCAGACUGAUGCGCCUCUCGGUGAUUCGCAAACAUCUCCCUCGUCGAAGAAGAGCCGGGAAAUCGCCUGGACGCUGAACCAACUCGAGAAUCCACGGGCUUCUCCGUAAAUUCUUGGUCGAAAGGAAAACAGAACACGGCAGCCAAGAUGCCGCGCUGUUACAUGGUGAAGAAGGCCCUGUGCAACAAGUAUAUAAGCAGCGUUGCCAGAGGAUUCGAAAGCUGGGGUCGUGGAAGGAGCACGCCAUCGCCAACCACCAUGCAGAUACCGGUCUCGCCCAUAGAAGGGAGCGUUGCACCCCCUGUUGCUCAAGAGUACCUGAGCACGCAAUCUCAGGACACGAGAGCAACGACAGGAACGAAGACCCUCGAGCAGGAGGUUUCCAGGGAGAGGCUGAACGAGCCCAGCGACGCUAACGCAACGUCACCGAAUGCAACGAGCAACGGCACCAUCUUCGCGACGGAACCUCCAGCAACGGCGUGGACGGAGACGACGACGGUGAUCACCUGCACCACUGGCUCGUCCUCGAUAAUCAUCCCACCUGCAACGGAGUCCAGCACCGAGAGCACGAUGGUGACGUCCACGUUCGCGUCUCCCAGAUCACCGUCCAGACCAGUUACGGAGCAGCAAAUGAGCGUGCUUCAUCAUCUGCCACCCGGAGAGCCAUCUCCUCCUUCGAGUACCGCUACACCGUAUCACCUGGAAGAAACCACGAAUCAUUCGACGUCCGAGUCGAGGAUAGGGUCCGAUUGUAAUGUAGUGGUUACCAAUUACGUGUCAUCGAUGUUCAAGGACCGUUCUGCGGCCGAGACAGAAGCUGCCCACGAUCUGUUAGAGUUGUCCAGGUCUCUGCCACCCUUACCACCGCCCAGUGUUGCCAUCGGACCACAAAGCGUCGUGGAGACACCUGCGACCGAUAUUCAAGAGAUGACGGUCUACCAACCAGACCAACCGAUCUACCAAGUGAACACCAUCGACCUCGCCAGCUCUACCGUGUACACCCAUCAUCAGCAACAGCAACCACCCACCGCGAGCAUCAUCUACGAGCCCAGCGCGACGAUAGUUCAGCAAACGGGCAGCGUGUUCAUCCCCCUGUCGCCGGUGCAGGAGAUCCUGCUGACCUACAGCACACCGUCCAUCCCGUGCACGCCGAUCGUUGCCCAGCAACCGCCGCAACCGCCACCGCUGCAGAAACAGCCGCUUCAGCAACACCAGCCCAUCGAGACUGCGCCACCCCUCACGCCCCCUACCUCCGAGUGCAGCAGCGACAUCGAGAAUAACAAUCCCAACUCGCAGCCCAGCCAGAAGGACAAAGAAGUGCAGACAGUGAUCGAGCAGACCGAAGUAAAGCCAGCUAGUUACACCUAUGAUACCCUGUUGGUGGCCGAUGGAAGGUCGAAGAACAAGAAGAGCGCGCCCAGUCAGAAGAACCAGGAGACUGAACCGAUCGAAGCACCGGAGACCUCGAAGAUCGGACGAUACGUCUGCUGCGAGUGCGGCAAGCAGUACGCAACAUCGUCGAACUUAUCGCGGCAUAAGCAGACGCACCGCAGCAUCGAUUCGCAGUCCGCAAAAAAGUGCAUCCAUUGUGGCAAAGCAUACGUGAGUAUGCCAGCACUGGCGAUGCACGUGUUGACGCACAAGCUGACGCACAGUUGCGGAGUCUGCGGUAAGAUGUUCUCCAGGCCUUGGUUGCUGCAAGGUCAUCUAAGAAGUCACACCGGGGAGAAGCCUUACGGAUGCGCCCACUGCGGUAAGGCGUUCGCUGAUCGCUCGAAUCUUCGUGCCCACAUGCAGACACACUCGGCGGAUAAGAACUACGAAUGUCACAAAUGUCAUAAGUCGUUCGCGCUGAAAUCCUACCUGAACAAACACCUGGAAUCUGCCUGCCAGAGGGAGAACGACGAGAGCAGCAACGACGUCGAUGCGCCGCAGUAACCAUACCCCCUUUUGGUGGAUGCUUGUCGACGCUGGGCUCUUUGAUCGCCAUUGGCAUGUACUAAAAGAAUUUCAAAAACUUCUCGACGACGCAACAUUGUGGUGCAUCGACGCUGAUGCGAUAACUUGAAUGGUGAUUCCUUCAACUCCCUCGAAAACUUGAAAACCAACGUGAAUCGAAGUUCGAAACUACACGGGAAAAGGAACACACGAAGCAAGACACAAUCGAGCGUUUCUUGCCGUCGUCGUUGACGCCACAGGUGAGCCUUCGUCUUUCGAACAGAUCGACAUCUUCAGCGUCGUACAUCCAACGUAAUCUGGGUAAGCAAACGGUCCAGAAACGCGACCGAUUAAAUCUGCGACCAAGCUAAUUAAACGAAAGAAGAUGAAAUACUUUAAAAUCAGAGGUUGACCAUGAAUUAAGAAAACAUGGUACGGAUUUUCGUGUAACUAUGAAUGUUAGCAGCGAAUUUUAACCCCUUGGAUAACGUGGAGUUACAUAACGAUUAAUUUGUUAGGUUUCGGAGAUUUGUAUGAAAGCUAUUUGGCUAUGAAACAUAUAAUUUAAAUUUACAUUAACUGCGAUUUUAUUGAAAUUAAAAAUCACUUAAUAUUAUUAUUAGUACUACAAGAUUAAACUUAUAACAAAGUAGUUAUUUGAAAUAUAAAUCGCAAUAUAAAGUCGCCAAGGGUUAAAAUUCGCAAUCGGAAAGUAAAGAACAUACAGGGAUACAGUUUAGGGCUUAAAAGGAAACAGCGAGUUUCUUCGCAUCGAUCGCGCACGAUGCGAUUCAAACGGCAUUCCUCUUGUCCCUCCGCACUCGACGGAACUCCGUUCACCGUCUGGUAAUCGAUAUUCAAAACUCGAGGGAAACGAAACGGCACUCGUUCCGUUCCCAAUGCUCGCUGCCGAUUAAGGAUCUGCAGGGCUUUUGGGCAAACGCGGCUACAGCCGAACCGAUGCAAUACUAUCGAGGGACCAUCAAUUUGUGAGUAAAAUUCAUUUCGUAACGAGAACCGAGUCGAGUCAAAGAGCUUUUUCGAGGGCGGGCGUAAACAGCUCCACGUUUACAAGCUUUUAUCGUUAGCGACCUGAUCCUCCUCUUCGAUACUGUAAACUUUUUCCAAACUUGCACACGGUACCUUUUAUCCUGUCUCGUUGAUUUUAUGGGAGUUCUAGAUCCAUUUGUUUUACCUGCAACUUAGUUGUUUGUUCCAAGUUAAAUGACCGAUUUAAGGCGUUCAAUUUUAUCGAGUAGUUAAUAAGUCUUUCACUUUAUUCUAAGACAUCUUUAUAAACAUUCGCUGUUUUAAUUUAGUUGUGUUCUUUGAAUAAGUAGUUCAAGCAGAAGAUUUUUCAUGCAGUUCAAGCUUUCAUCCUUUAUAUCAAACGUUAAUUCACCAGUUUAUCUUUCUCGAUAGUUCACUGUAUUCACUGUAUGUAUGUCAUCUCAAAUGACCAAAAUAAGCUUAAAUAAAACACUGCGUUAACGCUACUUUUCAACGCAUGCUUGUGAACUGCAUAGAAUAUUUCUCGUCGUCGAUAAAAGAGUGACACGGUUGACAAAAUGGAGUCAUGAUUCGAAACGGUGCAGUUGCGAUGACCGGUUUCGCGAAAACUUUUCGCCCGUUCCAAUUUCCUCGAGACGUCUGGGAUGCGUCGUUUUUCCGAAAGUUCUAUCGACGCCCUCGGCGUACAAUACAGGUGGAGAGGGGCAGAGGGCACACGUCGAAAGUUUUCAUCAACAUUUCACGUGAACUGGACCACCUGUUGAAUGCAGGAAUGACCAUUCGGUGGCGAAAGGGUCGCUCGUUCUGCUUCCCUGAAUUAUAGAACGUCCUCCUGUAAUUUCCUCGUUGUUAAAUACGCGAGUUGGAUCGCGAUUUCGCGAUUCUCGCGCUUUGAAUCGACCAAUUCGAACGUUCCUCGUUCUUCUUUUCUUCUUUCUCCAAACGAUUCUAGUCGGAAGCUUUCGAUCGCUGUGGCGAA